UCGAGCGACAGACAGGAGCUUGCUCCUUUGACGUUAGCGGCGGACGGGUGAGUAACACGUGGGUAACCUACCUAUAAGACUGGGAUAACUUCGGGAAACCGGAGCUAAUACCGGAUAAUAUUUCGAACCGCAUGGUUCGAUAGUGAAAGAUGGUUUUGCUAUCACUUAUAGAUGGACCCGCGCCGUAUUAGCUAGUUGGUAAGGUAACGGCUUACCAAGGCGACGAUACGUAGCCGACCUGAGAGGGUGAUCGGCCACACUGGAACUGAGACACGGUCCAGACUCCUACGGGAGGCAGCAGUAGGGAAUCUUCCGCAAUGGGCGAAAGCCUGACGGAGCAACGCCGCGUGAGUGAUGAAGGUCUUCGGAUCGUAAAACUCUGUUAUUAGGGAAGAACAUACGUGUAAGUAACUAUGCACGUCUUGACGGUACCUAAUCAGAAAGCCACGGCUAACUACGUGCCAGCAGCCGCGGUAAUACGUAGGUGGCAAGCGUUAUCCGGAAUUAUUGGGCGUAAAGCGCGCGUAGGCGGUUUUUUAAGUCUGAUGUGAAAGCCCACGGCUCAACCGUGGAGGGUCAUUGGAAACUGUAAAACUUGAGUGCAGAAGAGGAAAGUGGAAUUCCAUGUGUAGCGGUGAAAUGCGCAGAGAUAUGGAGGAACACCAGUGGGCGAAGGCGACUUUUCUGGUCUGUAACUGACGCUGAUGUGCGAAAGCGUGG
rnacentral:rRNA from 1 species